UACCUCCUGGAAUGUUUGCGAGCUGGUGUAGUCCUUGAGCCGUUAGAUAAAUAUUAGGAGACAUAAGUACGAUGGCAGUGUGCACGUCCAAUACUGUAGAGAUUAUUUUUUGCAGGUUGGGAAGCCUUAGCUAUCAGCUUGGUCUCCGCCUUGAACCAGGACGGUUCAGGGCAAACCGGGCAGCGGCAUUUUGGGGGGAUU
rnacentral:other from 1 species